UAUCCGGGCGAAAAAAAUUUACCAGUUCCUACAAGAUAUUAAAACUGUAUAUCCUGGCUAUGGAAAAAAUGGUUUAGAGUUGAAAUUUAUAAAUGAGCCAACAGUACAAAGUGAGGAUAUUGAAGAUUUAAUGCCACCGAAAAAAGCUGCCCGUCAAGAUGAUGAAAUGCAGUUUAUUGAAGAUGGUGAUGAUAUGUGGGAGUAUGGAAAUUAAAAAUCCUGCAGCCCUUUCAUAAAUAAAUACAGCAGAAUUACAGGUUCGAAAAUGUAAUUUAUUUCCUAAGUAUUUUUGAUGCUGAAGCCAGUCAGUUUUUAAGAAUG